UAGAGGAAGUAAAAGUCGUAACAAGGUCUCCGUUGGUGAACCAGCGGAGGGAUCAUUACUGAGUUUACGCUCUAUAACCCUUUGUGAACAUACCUAUAACUGUUGCUUCGGCGGGUAGGGUCUCCGCGACCCUCCCGGCCUCCCGCCUCCGGGCGGGUCGGCGCCCGCCGGAGGAUAACCAAACUCUGAUUUAACGACGUUUCUUCUGAGUGGUACAAGCAAAUAAUCAAAACUUUUAACAACGGAUCUCUUGGUUCUGGCAUCGAUGAAGAACGCAGCGAAAUGCGAUAAGUAAUGUGAAUUGCAGAAUUCAGUGAAUCAUCGAAUCUUUGAACGCACAUUGCGCCCGCCAGCAUUCUGGCGGGCAUGCCUGUUCGAGCGUCAUUUCAACCCUCAAGCUCUGCUUGGUGUUGGGGCCCUACAGCUGAUGUAGGCCCUCAAAGGUAGUGGCGGACCCUCCCGGAGCCUCCUUUGCGUAGUAACUUUACGUCUCGCACUGGGAUCCGGAGGGACUCUUGCCGUAAAACCCCCCCAAUUUUCCAAAGGUUGACCUCGGAUCAGGUAGGAAUACCCGCUGAACUUAAGCAUAUCAAUA
rnacentral:rRNA from 1 species